CGCGACCCCCGAGGCGGCGGCGGCGGCGGCGGCCACUCACCAUAUUACAGAUGGAGGCGAUGUUUCGGACAGUCAUUAGUCUAAAGGUUACAGCGAUCCCGCACCGCCAUCUUUAUAAGGGAAUGCUGGAGGAGAAGGUGCAGGUGUAGGUGGCUGAGAAGAAGUGAACUUGGUUUCAGAGGCGUUGAGUUGGAGAUAACCAUGAAACACCUGAAAAGUUAUAUCAGGUACCACUGGGGCUCAGAAGAGACGUCUGGACUGGAGAUAAACCUAAAGGCCUGCGGCCCCACCCUCCGAUGAUUAUUAUUCCUUCUAUUUCAAGUCCACUCACUCCUCAAAACUCCGU